rnacentral:rRNA from 1 species
UGGGGAAUUUUGGACAAUGGGGGAAACCCUGAUCCAGCCAUCCCGCGUGUGCGAUGAAGGCCUUCGGGUUGUAAAGCACUUUUGGCAGGAAAGAAACGUCAUGGGUUAAUACCCCGUGAAACUGACGGUACCUGCAGAAUAAGCACCGGCUAACUACGUGCCAGCAGCCGCGGUAAUACGUAGGGUGCAAGCGUUAAUCGGAAUUACUGGGCGUAAAGCGUGCGCAGGCGGUUCGGAAAGAAAGAUGUGAAAUCCCAGAGCUCAACUUUGGAACUGCAUUUUUAACUACCGGGCUAGAGUGUGUCAGAGGGAGGUGGAAUUCCGCGUGUAGCAGUGAAAUGCGUAGAUAUGCGGAGGAACACCGAUGGCGAAGGUAGCCUCCUGGGAUAACACUGACGCUCAUGCACGAAAGCGUGGGGAGCAAACAGG